UUUCAGCUUGUUGGUGGGGUAAUGGCCUACCAAGGCGACGACGGGUAGCCGGCCUGAGAGGGCGACCGGCCACACUGGGACUGAGACACGGCCCAGACUCCUACGGGAGGCAGCAGUGGGGAAUAUUGCACAAUGGGCGAAAGCCUGAUGCAGCGACGCCGCGUGAGGGAUGACGGCCUUCGGGUUGUAAACCUCUUUCAGCAGGGAAGAAGCGAAAGUGACGGUACCUGCAGAAGAAGCGCCGGCUAACUACGUGCCAGCAGCCGCGGUAAUACGUAGGGCGCAAGCGUUGUCCGGAAUUAUUGGGCGUAAAGAGCUCGUAGGCGGCUUGUCACGUCGGGUGUGAAAGCCCGGGGCUUAACCCCGGGUCUGCAUCCGAUACGGGCAGGCUAGAGUGUGGUAGGGGAGAUCGGAAUUCCUGGUGUAGCGGUGAAAUGCGCAGAUAUCAGGAGGAACACCGGUGGCGAAGGCGGAUCUCUGGGCCAUUACUGACGCUGAGGAGCGAAAGCGUGGGGAGCGAACAGGAUUAGAUACCCUGGUAGUCCACGCCGUAAACGUUGGGAACUAGGUGUUGGCGACAUCCACGUCGUCGUCCGCAGCACGCCCUGUACCC
rnacentral:rRNA from 2 species